UCUGCGAGGACAACCUUGAAACAAGAAGCCAAGUCCACCCGAAGAGAGUCCCACGAUUGGCUUCAUUUUUUGCCCUUGGCAGAUGCACCCCGCAUCACAAAUGCUCCUCCUGGCUUCGCGUUGAUGAAGUUUUACGACGAUUCCAAAGCCACAGAGUCUCAACCAAGUCUGCAGCGACCUGGACACCGUCACAUUUACAGGCUUUGUCAAACUGUUCACGCGCUCUGCUGUUGCCUGACCGAGUGCUCCCCGGUUCCUGGGACAUCAGUGUGGCCGGGAAUGCCGCUGCCAUCCCGCAUGGCUCUCAUCGUGCUGCCGUCGUCGCCAGGCCUCUCCCGGCUCCGUCUGGAUGGAUGCUCUCUCACUGGGGGCCACAGCGCAGAUGUUCUCAGGGUGACCUUGAGGAGGGUUCUUUGUCCAGCUCUUCAUUACAGAUUGGACAUAAUGAGUAGCAUGCGGAUGUCGUGAGGAUGGAGUGACGUCCUGUUCAGAUUCCAGUACAGACCUUUUCUCUUAGUGGACAGUAGCCAAAAGAGGGAUGGAGUCAAAGCAUCCAGAAGGCGUUAAAAACUGCUUUGAUGAGAUGGAAGUCACCUAUGCUCACAUUCCAUGGACCAAAAUCAGGCAAAUGGGCAAGUUCAAAGUCAGUGAUGCCACCAUUGUACUUUGCAGGAUUUAGCUCUAGCUAAAUGUAUGCUGGCGGAAUGGGCUGGGCCUUCCAGAACAACUCCCAAAGCAACACCACAGACUCAUCCCACUGGGGAGCUGCCAUUUCUGCUGCUGCCACGGAGCCAGGAAAGCAACACGGGAGACGACAGACCAGGGAUGAAGAAUGGGCCAUAGUAUCCAUUGCCACAGAACUGCCAUAGCUUCCAGAUCCACACCUUCGGACAGAUCCUCUCCUCUCCCAGAAGAGAGCACUGGACAUGAGGACCCUGCACGGUUCUCACAGAGAGGCCCAGGUCCUACAAAGAUGCACUUAGCAGCAGCAGCAGUGUGGGGGACCGAAUAUCCCUGUUAUGAAAUAUUCUGGGUUCCAGGCCCUGGCUGCCAUAAACAGCGGUGGUGCCAGGAAGCUCCGAGUCACCGUUGUAUCGUUAAUUAACACUAGGCUGUUACUGUUUACCAAGGCGAUAUGCCUCCUAAUUUGCAUCUCUGUAGCUUAAGCCUUGAGUAGGCCCAUACCUGGGCUGAAGACCCUGCCUGCAUGACCAAGAGUUGUUUAGGUAACAGAAUCACUUGAUGUUAGCGGUAUGUAUUGUGAUAAAUGCUUCCCGAUGUUGUCCCUG
rnacentral:lncRNA from 1 species